UACAGAGGUGCAAGCGUUGUUCGGAAUUACUGGGCGUAAAGCGCGCGUAGGCGGCUUUGUAAGUUAGAGGUGAAAGCCCGGAGCUCAACUCCGGAACUGCCUUUAAGACUGCAUCGCUAGAAUCAUGGAGAGGUGAGUGGAAUUCCGAGUGUAGAGGUGAAAUUCGUAGAUAUUCGGAAGAACACCAGUGGCGAAGGCGACUCACUGGACACGUAUUGACGCUGAGGUGCGAAAGCGUGGGGAGCAAACAGG
rnacentral:rRNA from 1 species